GUUAGUAAUCAGUACAAGAUCUGUUAGUAAUCAGUCCAGAACAGAUUCAAAAUCCGGCCAAAAAAUCCCACAACAUCUAUAUGAUCCAAGGACAGAGUAAUAGUUUUAUAGAUCUAGAUCUAUAUCAGACUAAACUCAUAGCAGACUAAAUCAAAAACAUCAACAGACAAAAUAAGAUCUAGGCCUCCGUCGACUACUCCGUUACCAGAAGAAUCGUCGGCGAAACGACGUCCCGCCAUGGAUACAAUCAAGAACAAAAUAGAGCAGCAAAAUCAACAAUUUAGAUCCGAGAGCCUCGUCUGUCAGCCGACGCCAGAUCCCACCAUUUAGAUCCGAGAGCCUCGUCUGUCAGCCAACGCCAGAUCCCACCAUUUAGAUCCGAGAUACAUCUUCAAAAACCAUCACCAGCAAAUACCAACAAGAUCCGUAACCCCCGAUCUAUAACAAGUACAUAAUCAUCUUAGAGAAGAGAGAGCUCCUUAUCCUCCUCAUCUUUAUAUUUAAAAAUUGCCGCUGAUCAGAAUCAAAAUCAAAUUACGAUGACGGCAACGAUGAUCGAAGGAUGGGAGAUGUACGGAAUUCGCCGGAGAGAGAAACGACGGAUGGAGACAGUAAUUUCCCAAAUCCAUCGUCUAGCACCGAAUUGGAAUUUUCAGUUUUGUGUUUUUCAUCCGUCGGGGGAAACAAAAAUCAAUUUGUACUAAAAAUAAAACUACUGCUAAUAAUUAAUAAAUUAAUAAUAAAUAAUAUAAUUUUAAAAUAUUGGCAGUACACUUAAACAAGAAAUGAAAUUACUAACCUGAGUUAUGUUUAAGGGAAGAUAUGCAAAAAUCUAAUGAACUUGAAUCACUUUUUUAUCUUAAUUCAGUUUGUAUAAAAGGUAGUAAAUUGGUAGUAAAAUAGUUACC
rnacentral:lncRNA from 1 species